CGAGGCAGAGGCUGCUUGAGCAACGCUGUGGGUUGGUUUGGCGCUGCGUUGCGUAGGUUUUUCCCGUUGGUUGUUUCAAGCGACGAGGAAAGAGGGUGUAGAGCGAAAGGCGUAGGAGGAGAGGGGUGGAAGCGAAAGACGUAGGGGCGAAGGCGGGUUUUUUUAGGGGGGAGUUAGGGCGGGUGAGCUAAAGGGGGACUUAGGGGGGGCGGCUUGGUUGGGCAACUGGGCUAGAGGGGCACAAAAAAAAAAGUUAAGUUAAGCAGGCGGCGGCUAAAAGGGGGCGAGCAGCAGCUUGACUUAGCGCGGCAGGCACCGCGCCGCCGCCGCCAACUGGGAAAGCGCGAUCCCAAGCCCGAGCCCCUGCUACCGGUCGGUGCCUCGACGCGGCCGGCGGCCUAGGCUGCGGCGCGCGCAGCUCCAGUCGCCGUGUCCGGUCUGUUUGGUCGGACGAAUAGGCGGAAAUCAAAGACCCCUAGUAAGUACCAGGAGAUGUUGACCGCGUCGUCGUCGUCCAAGCACCUUGAUGGGUCACCGGUUAGUUUCAGUUCUGCGUCAUAUGAUACUAGGCGUUUCCCUACAUAGCCAAAGUCCUCUAUUAGUUUUACACCGCUCGUCACGCGGAGGACGACAUGUCAGCUGAUACCCGAACUGUUUACGUUCAGUAAGAGUACACGGAAUGAGUUCAAGUGAAGUCGUACCGAUGUUAGGACGUCUUAUACGUUUGAUAAUGAUAUUGAUGGGUGUUCGUUGUUUAUCAACAAGACACGUCGUUCCUCCUCGUUUGGUUGUAAGUCCACGUCGAAUAGUCGGAGAAUGAAGUAAAGUCUUAAGACCCAGAAUGCAACUAGGACGUUCAUUGUGUAUAAUGUUACGACCACCAGUGGUCUGACGCGGUCCUAUACGUUGGUGGUUGAUAAUAAUAGUCUGGCUGUGAGCAUUACUACCUUCGAGUCGUUUGUUAAUACGGGUCAGUAUGGUCUUGAUGGGUAGGAGACUAUGGUUACGUCGGGUUUCAAGGUCAUGUCACGGACGGUUAAGAAAGAGUAUAGUCGUUGUCAUGUUGGUCACCGGUAUGAUAAUGUUAGUGAGACACGGUUGAGGACGACCGUUAGGUCAACGACCCUCGUCGUUGUAUCUAUUAUGUCAGCAAUCGUGGUGAAGACCAAUGAGAAUAGGAUCAUACCUCGGUGGAGGCGGCCCAUGAUGUGGUACCUUUUCAUUAAGUCCACGAAGACAACGUGGAGGACAUGUCCGAGGUUCGCAAGGUCUUGGAGUUUUAGUCAUGCAGGUUGUUCGCGUUCAUUGAGGUCCCAAGGUUUUGGUCAUACGGAUAGUCCGUGGUCCACAGGGUCACAGAGUCUUGAUGAUGCGGUCGGUCCGUGGUCGUAUGGGUGUUUUGUUAUACUUACACUUAGUUCAUGGAAACUUGUUGGUACCACUAGUUGUCUUCUCACCAAGAAACUGCUGUCCAUAAAUGUCAUCGCUUUUGUUUUGUGUCUAAGGCUGGUAAGGAGCUUAACGAGGACCAAAGAGAUACCAUUAUGGUUUCUCACUCUUCUUUUAAGAUCCACGACUAAACCGUUUCUUUGGACGGAUACAAUCACAAAGACACGGCUUCUUACUACUGUUUCGUCAAGUUUUACCAAGUCUGCGAUCUAGAGAGGGAAAAAGCGACGCAUUAAUACGGUACUCCUUAGAAUCGGCAACGUUCCUACUCCGGGUCUCCCGACGAACGGUUUGGUACUAUGUUGUCUAGUGUUCGUUUCGAUAAUCGUUACCUUGGGAGGAAUGAUUCUUAACCCUGUGACUUGGCGACUAAGGAAACGGUCUCUUAGAAAACUGGUACUGGCUUUGUUCACGUUUGUUAAGUUCAAGGAACGGUUGUAGAAGAUGGGGAUUUUCUGCCGACUUUUCAUCCACCCUCGGACAAGGCCUUCUUUUCCAAUGACUUUUCCACCUCGGUGAUCGUUUUCGUAACUACUUACCUAUACAGGUGUUAUUAAACUUUCGGGUUUUAUGCUACCCAUUGUCAACCUUAAAUCCCUUCAGAGAGGUCAGAGGUGUACGUGGAAGUUCGUUUUAGUCGGUGGCCGAAAGGUUCUUCGUUUUCUACCCAUCAAUAAGUUCACACCAUGUUUUACCCUUGUGAAGUUCACUAUCACUAUUCCUCUUCCUGGACUGGUUUAUAAUGCGGUUACGUAGUCGUCAUCGUUUGAGUGGUCUCCUUUUCUUUGCGUCCCUCGUGUCUAGAUUCGCAAAACUCUUCUCAUUCCUAAGUGGUAGUUUCAGUUCUUUAAGACGUCACUUAUUUCUACGGUACCGAGCAUAUGUAUGUUCUUCUGGGUAAAGUCGAGAACAAUGACCUUCAAUAUUUCUACCGUCGUCGAACCGGCAGCUCCUAUACCUGACCCUACGUGACUGUCAGUUCCCUUGUACAGUUCUUUAACUCUUCGCUAUAAAUGCGGAGUGCAGUCGCGGACUAGGAAGGUGCCAUUCUGGUCUUGUACAGAACCUCUUCCGCGAAAGGUACCAACUUUGUAGAGUUUUCUUAAUAGAAAUGUUCACACUAGUUGACUUUAGAUAAGCGGUUCUAGAAUGCCAAGUCUCCUAGGUCUUACUUGACUGACACUUCCAAAUACUUUGAGUACGCGCAAAUCGUGACGUUCGACCACUAGAUGGACUUAAAUUGGUCACGGUCAGUGUUGACUUCUCCGAUAUAUCUCUCCCUUUGUUACCAACAAUAAAACUUAAGAGUCGGAUGUUAAACGAGACGCAGUACGAUGUGAGAUUAUUGUUUGCACUGGACAACAGUAGUUACCGUUCGAACAGUUUUCUUCGGUUUGUUCUACCUCGACAGUUCGUACGGGAACGUCAAGUACGACGACAAAGUAGACCGUUAAUACAUUAUAAAAAGUUUAAUAUGUUUGUUCCCGGGUUGAACUUGAGAACGGAGUACCUAGAUAUACACCUCUCCUACGCAAAGCUCCGAUAUUUUACAUACAGAUCUAGUAUAGCAGGGUGCCAUGGACACCCUAUACAACGUGUCCAAAACCCUAAGAAUGAUCUACCCCUCCUGUCUAACCUUCUUACACUUUAUACCAAUUUUCGUGUACCACGGCAAGAAAGUCAUCUAUUGUCACCUCUUAACGUCUAUCUGUGUUUCCGAAGAAGAUCAUGCGAAAAGUACGGCCUCGGUCUCUUACGCCAACGUGUACCACUACGCAGUGAACGUCAAUUGCUGAAGAAACGUGCAUGUAACAUCUUCCACAUGCGAGUACCCGCACAACCACGUAUACCUACGUAACGUGUACGGGCCUACUCUUAUGCGACAAUACACGGUGUCCUUGUACUUUAUCUAGUCGAACUCUUCGGGUUCUCACGAAGAAACGGAUCUUCCAACCUCGCUCCUAUCUUUCGGUGUGACCUGAUAACCGUACAGGUGAGCUACCGACGUCAACGUGUCGAGGCCACUCGACGGCGCUCCGUUUAAGCCUCGUAACUGGUUGUGAUCGCUGCCGAUGGACGACUGUCGGUGUAAAUAGACAGUCCGGCGAGAGACUCACCUUACAAAUGUCUUUGGAGUAUAAACAAACAUUUUCAAAAUCUUGUUGAUAUCAAAACACAAACAUAGUCCGUUAAAUAUGUGAUCCACAUCCCGUUUUCUAUCCCUGUUCUUUCCAAGCCUUUAAAUAAACAUUUUGUCUGUGUCGGUUAGGAGAAUUAAAUACUUUUGUAGAGAAGAAGAACGGUU
rnacentral:rRNA from 1 species